UUUGUGUGUUUGCUUUUUUUAAGGACUAAUGUUGCUGGACAGGCAGGUAUUAGAGACAGGGUGGAUCUGCUGGACAGGCAGGUAGUAUAGACAGGGUGGAUCUGCUGGCCAGCCAGGUAGUAUAGAUAGCGUGGAUCUACUGGCCAGGCAGGUAGUGUAGACAGGGUGGAUCUGCUGGGCAGGCAGGUAGUGUAGACAGGGUGGACCUGCUGGACAAGCAGGCAGUGUAGACAGAGUGGAUCUGCCGGCCAGGCAGGUAGUGUAGAUAGCAUGGAUCUACUGGCCAGGCAGGUAGUGUAGACAGGGUGGAUCUGUUGGGUAGGCAGGUAGUGUAGACAGGAUGGAUCUGCUGGACAGGCAGGUAGUAUAGACAGAGUGGAUCUGCUGGACAGGCCGGUAGUAUAGACAGGGCGGAUGUGCUGGCCAGGCAGGUAGUAUAGAAAGGGCGGGUCUGCUGGACAGGCAGGUAGUGUAGACAGGGUGGAUCUGCUGGGCAGGCAGGUAGUGUAGACAAGGUGGACCUGCAGGAUAGGCAGGUAGUAUAGACAGGGUGCAUCUGCUCGACAGUUAGGUAGUAUAGACAGGGUGGAUCUGCUGGACAGGCAGGUAGUGUAGAUAGUGUGGAUCUACUGGCCAGGUAGGUAGUGUAGACAGGGUGGACCUGCUUGACAGGCAGGUAGUAUAGACAGAGUGGAUCUGCUGGCCAUACAGGUAGAGUAGAUAGCGUGAAUCUACUGGCCAGGCAGGUAGUAUGGACAGGGUGGAUCUGCUGGGCAGGCAGGUAGUGUAGACAGGGUGGAUCUGCUGGCCAGGCAGGUAGUACAGACAGGGCGGAUCUGCUGGGCAGGCAGGUAGUGUAGAUAGGGUGGACCUGCUGGGCAAGCAGGUAGUGUAGACAGGGUGGAUCUGCUCGCCAGGCAGGUAGUGUAGAUAGCGUGGAUCUGCUGGCCAGGCAGUUAGUAUAGACAGGGUGGAUCUGCUGAGCAGGCAGGUAGUGUAGACAGGGUAGAUCUGCUGGAUAGGCAGGUAGUAUAGACAGGGUGGAUCUGCUGGACAGGCAGGUAGUGUAGACAGGGUGGAUCUGCUGGCCAGUCAGGUAGUAUAGACAGGGUGGAUCUGCUGGCCAGGCAGGUAGUAUAGACAGGGUGGAUCUGCUGGCCAGGGAGGUAGUAUAGACAGGGUGGG
rnacentral:lncRNA from 1 species